GAGUGAGUAUCACAGGAUUAUUUAGGUUGAAAAAGCCCUCUAAGGUCAUCGAGUCCAACCUGCCGAGCCCACGACUGAACCACAUCCCCAAAUGCCGCAGCUACACGUCUGUCAAAUCCCUCCAGGGGUGGGGACUCCAUCGCAAAAGUUUAGACGUGUUAUGGACUCUAUAAUAGAGACCUAUUUAUCGUCCGAUUCCUCACAGGCUCCGCAUCCCGUGGGAUGUCCAGCACCGAUUGCAGGAGUUCCUGUGGCUGGUCGAGGCAGGAGCCGGGGUGGCCGUGACACCUCCGGGCACCCCUCCCGAGCAGUGCCACUGUCCCCGCAGAGCCCGCGCACCAGCUCCCCGUUCCUCAAUCUCUGCUGCCCUCGCAUGGCACAUCAGGGAAAGAAAAUGAGCCUGUUCUGGGCAAAUCCAAAGGCAGGACUUGAACAGGACAUCUGCCACAGCGAUCAUCACUGCGGGCUCCAGGCAGUUUGGCAAGUGCUGAUGGUCGUUACCCUUUCUGCAGUAACCACACUGAAACAUUGAUCGUCGCUGCACUUGGGCACAUCCAAAGGCGUGUUCAGUAAUAAAUCUGAGCUUCUCCAAGAAAGAUCUUGAAAUACAGACUUAACAAACCAACCCAUCGAUCUGCACGUGUGCAGGCAGGGAGUCCUUGUCUGCUCUUUGAUUAUCUUCAUGGUCCGAGCUCAGGCAGAAACAGCAAGAGGUAGACGAAGACAGAAGAAGCAGGGACAGACUUUUAUUGUUGCAAGUGCUUGAUGAAAAUGUGGAAUCAGAGUACAAAGAGGAAGAAACCUCCGCUUGACACUGCUCAUCUCAGCAGUGCAUCACUCAUUAUUCUGCACAGGAUUAAAGGCUUUGCUGGGGCCAGAUUCUUCAACUCAGAUGGAGAACUAAUUUCCCCACAUCUCUCCUCAGCAUACCUAUACAGGAUUUUUUGCUACAGAAAGAGAACUGAAGAUGUCACCUGAUGAUUAUCUGUGACUGUGAGGUCCAUUGUCCUUACAGGAAGUUCUGUUGUCUGCCUGGGGUUUUGAGGUUUGAAAGUUGGAUGGCAGAGUUGCUGAUUCUGAUGAUAACUCAGAUCUUCUGUUGUGAUUGUGAGGCUGCCUGAGUACUCUUAUUUGUGGUGUAGUGGAUGUGCUCAGUAACAGUGGGUGUUUCUGAGAGUUACUAUUUUAUUGGUUUGGUUUUGAGGAUUGCUUGCUCCAUCUUUAUGGCUGGGAAUUUGUUAUGGGAUUCAAUGUUAUGAUCUCCACUGCAGCUGUGAUUUUCUCCCACAUAUGUACUUUCUCUGACUAUAUAAUGACUCUUCAGCUUUAACAGAAUUUUAUCAGGUAAGUCCAAGGUUGCACAAGGAACGUUGGGAAUUGGUAGGUUUUAGUGGUCCUUUCAGAACACCACUGAGGCACAACCAUAUGUAUGUCUAGACCAAAGUCCCAAAUCCUUUGCAGCAGUGUUUAACUUUGGCAGCAAAGCUCUGAGCGUGACAAAGAUGAUCAGCUGUGUGCCUGGGUGGCUUUGUGGGUUGUUCAAGGGUGGUUCCUGUGCCGAAGCUCUGCCAUAUGACUGGUGAGGAGACUGUUGGUACCUGGCCAAGUGAAGCAGAACCAGGAGGGGCUGCUGAGGCUGUUGUUUGCUGGAACUUGGAUUCUCUGUCAAUGGACCCAAAUGACUUCUGGAUCUGAGAGCUGGGAUUAAGACAUUACUGUUAUCUCCUGCUUGUAUAAUGCCCAGGAUCACCUGCACCUUUAGCUUUCUGUGGUGUGUGGUGUGUACAGA